GAUGAACGCUGGCGGCGUGCCUAAUACAUGCAAGUCGAGCGAACAGAUGAGGAGCUUGCUCCUCUGACGUUAGCGGCGGACGGGUGAGUAACACGUGGAUAACCUACCUAUAAGACUGGGAUAACUUCGGGAAACCGGAGCUAAUACCGGAUAAUAUAUUGAACCGCAUGGUUCAAUAGUGAAAGACGGUUUUGCUGUCACUUAUAGAUGGAUCCGCGCCGCAUUAGCUAGUUGGUAAGGUAACGGCUUACCAAGGCAACGAUGCGUAGCCGACCUGAGAGGGGGGUCGCCAACCUGGGAAUGUGAACAGGGUCAAGCCCCCGAGGGGGGGAGGCAGAAGGGAAUCUCCCGCAAGGGGGGAAAGCCGUACGGAGCAGGCCGGCGGGAGAAACAAGGGUGUCCGGAUCGAAAAACUUUUUUUUGAGUAAAAAAAAAAUGUGUACGAAAAAAUGCCCUUCUUGACGGUACUUAAUAAAAAAGCCCCGGCUAACUACGUG
rnacentral:rRNA from 1 species